rnacentral:rRNA from 1 species
UACAGAGGUCCCAAGCGUUGUUCGGAUUCACUGGGCGUAAAGGGAGUCUAGGCGGUUUGGUAAGUGGGAUGUGAAAUCCCCGGGCUCACCCCGGGACCUGCAUCCCAAACUGCUGAGCUUGAGUACAGGAGAGGGUGGGGGAAUUCCAGGUGUAGCGGUGAAAUGCGUAGAUAUCUGGAGGAACACCGGUGGCGAAGGCGCCCACCUGGCCUGCUACUGACGCUGAAGCUCGAAAGCUAGGGGAGCAAACGGG